rnacentral:lncRNA from 1 species
GGCACCAGGAGGUGCCGCCUUCCUCAUUCUUAACAGAAGUCUUAGUGAGCCCUGGAGUCUUGGAUGAAGAAACUGAGGUGGAGAGAGGUGGAAGGCCCGCCUGAGGUCCUGCACAAAGAUUUGUCAUUGCUGCUGCUGUUACUGCAGUUGCUGUUGCCAGGACCAAACACCUCUGGCACAGCCUCAUUAGUCACUACCUAAGCUGCCCUGACAAGUGGAUAAAAGGAAAGAAGACCUCUUUUAGGCAUGGAGGGAAAGUGAGACUUUGGAGCUUUUGCCUAUUCCAGAGAAAAUCAAUAGCUAUCGCGGGGAUGUUGAAGCCACAGAGGGUUCCUUCCGUUUCCAUCGCAGCUAAUUACGAAAGUGACAGGGCUUGUCAGGACCUGUUCAGAGAUCAGAAUUAA